AAUAGUCUCUCUUUUCUCAUCACCAACACAUAACACACACACUUUUGAGGUCUUUAGGGUUGUAGCUUGGCUUGGGUUAGGGUAUGGAUUCAUAAAAAAAAAGGAAAACAAGGGGCUUUUGGCUCAGAGUCGAUGUUAUAUCCUGUGUUUUUUUCUUUUAUUUCCUCGGUUUUCUUUUCUUAUUUCUUGAAUUUUUACCGACUACCCUUUUUCGUGCUUCUUUCUUUUGAAUCAUCAAGUAUUUGAUUUUUAUUUUUCUUUCUUUUUCUCGAUUCAUCACUUUUUCUUUUUUUCUUGUUUUUGCACUUUCUAGGGCUUUGAGAGCUUUUGGGAUUUUUUACCCCAAACUUAGCUUUUCAACACAGUUGGAAUAUAU
rnacentral:lncRNA from 1 species